AUUGCUUUGUCGUGAUGUAUGAAUAGGCUAAUGGCUGCUAGUUUUCGAGGAGAGCAUUUUGUGAAUGAAGUGUGCUUCAUAACGUUGGAAGAAACUACUGGCCUACUGCUGUUGCCUCACAUUCAGCCCAGUUGCAGCAAUCAUACUUUCAGCGAUAAACUAUAUUCAAAACUGCAGUUUCCUUCCUACCAGCAAGUCAAAGCCUACCAGCAAGUCAAAGCAAUAAG